GACGAACGCUGGCGGCGUGCCUAAUACAUGCAAGUCGAGCGAAUCUUGAGGUGCUUGCACCUCUUGGUUAGCGGCGGACGGGUGAGUAACACGUGGGCAACCUGCCUGUAAGACUGGGAUAACUUCGGGAAACCGGAGCUAAUACCGGAUAAUCCUUUUCCUCUCAUGAGGAAAAGCUGAAAGUCGGUUUACGCUGACACUUACAGAUGGGCCCGCGGCGCAUUAGCUAGUUGGUGAGGUAACGGCUCACCAAGGCGACGAUGCGUAGCCGACCUGAGAGGGUGAUCGGCCACACUGGGACUGAGACACGGCCCAGACUCCUACGGGAGGCAGCAGUAGGGAAUCUUCCGCAAUGGACGAAAGUCUGACGGAGCAACGCCGCGUGAGCGAUGAAGGCCUUCGGGUCGUAAAGCUCUGUUGUUAGGGAAGAACAAGUACCGGAGUAACUGCCGGUACCUUGACGGUACCUAACCAGAAAGCCACGGCUAACUACGUGCCAGCCGCCGCCGUAACAC
rnacentral:rRNA from 1 species